AGAUCGAUUUCUGAAGGGAGCCACGUCAUAUCACUGGCUGAGGUAUACGUCGUCAUUGAACACGGAAAACAGUCAGCGACUCCGAGGUAAACGCAACCCAAGACGAAAUCGUUCACAAAAUGAACUUGGUCGUUGUCACCGUGGUGGUUCUCAUUACGCUGGGACCUGCACUUGGGUGCAGCACGGAUCCGGAAGAGGGAUGCACAGAUCACGGGUGUGCCAAAGUAGCAGGAGUCACCAGCUGCAGCCCGGGUUGUAUAUGCGGUAGUUUCGACUGUGGUAUUUGGAAAAAGCAGUACUGCCGGAAAUUGACGGAAGAAGAACAAAGAACCAGAGAGGAGUUCCUUAACAGCAAAAA